AUUACUGGGCGUAAAGCGUGCGCAGGCGGUUUUGUAAGACAGUGGUGAAAUCCCCGGGCUCAACCUGGGAACUGCCAUUGUGACUGCAAGGCUAGAGUGCGGCAGAGGGGGAUGGAAUUCCGCGUGUAGCAGUGAAAUGCGUAGAUAUGCGGAGGAACACCGAUGGCGAAGGCAAUCCCCUGGGCCUGCACUGACGCUCAUGCACGAAAGCGUGGGGAGCAAACAGGAUUAGAUACCCUGGUAGUCAAGGGCG
rnacentral:rRNA from 1 species